rnacentral:pre_miRNA from 1 species
AGGAACAACAACAGUGGUGGCGGCCAGUUCUGGAGCUCUGGAUUUAGCUCCUGCAGUAACUAAGGAGCUCUUAGUCUGCAGGGCCUGGAUGCUCUGGGGGUGG